rnacentral:tRNA from 1 species
GCCCUGCCCAAUCGCAAAGUGCAAAUUUCGAAGACGCACCCUAAAGGGUGCCGGGGCUUCUCCCGUUUUAAGAGAGACGGGAGAAGA